rnacentral:rRNA from 1 species
CGCGCAGGCGGCCGAGUAAGUCGAAUGUGAAAGCCCCCGGCUCAACUGGGGAAGGUCAUUCGAUACUGUUCGGCUCGAAGAUAGGAGAGGGAAGCGGAAUUUCAGGUGUAGUGGUGAAAUGCGUAGAUAUCUGAAGGAACACCAGUGGCGAAGGCGGCUUUCUGGCCUAUUCUUGACGCUGAGGCGCGAAAGCUAGGGGAGCAACG